UACGUAGGGUGCGAGCGUUAAUCGGAAUUACUGGGCGUAAAGCGUGCGCAGGCGGUUCGUUGUGUCGGUGGUGAAAGCCCCGGGCUCAACUUGGGAAUUGCAAUGGAUACUGGCAGGCUGGAGUAUGGUAGAGGAAGGUGGAAUUCCCGGUGUAGCAGUGAAAUGCGUAGAGAUCGGGAGGAACACCAGUGGCGAAGGCGGCCUUCUGGACCAAUACUGACGCUCAUGCACGAAAGCGUGGGGAGCAAACAGG
rnacentral:rRNA from 1 species